rnacentral:RNase_P_RNA from 1 species
UGGGCAAGCCGGGCGGCCGCUCGGUCGUUUUCGAUUGAGAGGAAAGUCCGGACACCGCAGGGCAGGGUGGUUGCCAACGGCAACUGUUCGUAAGAAUAAGGAAAGUGCCACAGAAAAGAAAACUCCGCGCAAGCGGAAAAGCUGAAACGGUGGUGUAAGAGACCACCGGCUCCGUCGAGAGGCGGAGGCCGGGUAAACCCCACUCGGUGCAAGGCCAAUAGGAGAGUGUUGAAGCGGCCCGCUCAGCUCUCGGGUCAAGCCGCUCAAGACGCGCGGCGACGCGCGUUUCAGACAGAUGGCCGCCGUGUCGCAAGACAUACAGAAUCCGGCUUAUAGGCUUGCCCAAUUG